CUACGGGAGGCAGCAGUGGGGAAUAUUGCACAAUGGAGGAAACUCUGAUGCAGCAACGCCGCGUGGAGGAUGACACUUUUCGGAGCGUAAACUCCUUUUAUAUAGGAAGAAGAUGACGGUACUAUAUGAAUAAGCGCCGGCUAACUCCGUGCCAGCAGCCGCGGUAAUACGGAGGGCGCAAGCGUUACUCGGAAUCACUGGGCGUAAAGAGCGUGUAGGCGGAUUAAAAAGUCAGAAGUGAAAUCCUAUAGCUUAACUAUAGAACUGCUUCUGAAACUCUUAAUCUAGAAUAUGGGAGAGGUAGAUGGAAUUUCUGGUGUAGGGGUAAAAUCCGUAGAGAUCAGAAGGAAUACCGAUUGCGAAGGCGAUCUACUAGAACAUUACUGACGCUAAGGCGUGAAAGCGUGGGGAGCAAACAGGAUUAGAUACCCGCGUAGUC
rnacentral:rRNA from 1 species